UACGUAGGGCGCAAGCGUUGUCCGGAAUUAUUGGGCGUAAAGGAGCUCGUAGGCGGCUUGUCACGUCGGGUGUGAAAAGCCCGGGGCUUAACCCCGGGUCUGCAUUCGAUACGGGCUAGCUAGAGUGUGGGUAGGGGAGAUCGGAAUUCCUGGUGUAGCGGUGAAAUGCGCAGAUAUCAGGAGGAACACCGGUGGCGAAGGCGGAUCUCUGGGCCAUUACUGACGCUGAGGAACGAAAGCUAGGGGAGCAAACAGG
rnacentral:rRNA from 1 species